rnacentral:lncRNA from 1 species
CAGGAGCUGGAGAGUACUCACCAUAAAAGAGAGGGCAAGCGCCUGUUCGGGAAGAAUCCCCAGCGCUGGCAGGUCCUGGACUCCCGGGAGACUGAAAGCCGAUCUGGCUGAGCUCAUCCCUGAAGGCCACUAAUCCAAUAGCCGCGGAAGGCGCGGUCGCCGGGAACGCCCCUUCCCCCACCAUCCCGCGCCCCGGCCGUCCCAGCUCGGGCCGCUGCCGGCGCCGCCACCUUCUCGAGGCCACCAGCUGGCGGGAGAGGGAAGUGGAGCCCGCGCCCGCGCCCCUGUGCCAAGGUGGC